rnacentral:rRNA from 1 species
AUUGAACGCUGGCGGCAGGCCUAACACAUGCCAGUCGAACGGUAACAGGAAGCAGCUUGCUGCUUCGCUGACGAGUGGCGGACGGGUGAGUAAUGUCUGGGAAGCUGCCUGAUGGAGGGGGAUAACUACCGGAAACGGUAGCUAAUACCGCAUAAUGUCGCAAGACCAAAGAGGGGGACCUUCGGGCCUCUUGCCAUCGGAUGUGCCCAGAUGGGAUUAACUUGUUGGUGGGGUAACGGCUCACCAAGGCGACGAUCCCUAGCUGGUCUGAGAGGAUGACCAGCCACACUGGAACUGAGACACGGUCCAGACUCCUACGGGAGGCAGCAGUGGGGAAUAUUGCACAAUGGGCGCAAGCCUGAUGCAGCCAUGCCGCGUGUAUGAAGAAGGCCUUCGGGUUGUAAAGUACUUUCAGCGGGGAGGAAGGGAGUAAAGUUAAUACCUUUGCUCAUUGACGUUACCCGCAGAAGAAGCACCGGCUAACUCCGUG